rnacentral:lncRNA from 1 species
UAUAUGCAUAUAUGGUAGGUGGGGCUAUAAGUUUUUAGCAAAAAGCAAGUUUUCUCCUACAUCAAGAGAGGGCUAAAAGCAAAAUUUUACUACAUUGUUGGUUGUAACGAGAUGGUUCCACCAACCAAUUCUCGUACCCGAGUUGUCAAUAAUUACCACAUCAAUAUUAUUAUUUGUGUUGAGAAUUUCAGAUAACUUCAGUUCUUUUGGCUCAAGUUGUCCAUGACCGUGGACACGGCUAAUCGAUUAGGUUUGAGUACUCUGCAGAGUUUUGCACACGUUCCCCACAAGAUUUGAUCGCCUCCGUGUAUGUCCUCGCACUUCAGGGUGUUUGAAGACCGGAUGAUCAAAACAUGGUCUUUCAACGGGUCCCUCUGAAUCCCUGUCGGUGCCCAUCCAAUCCUACCGUUCUUCUACAUCUGCUAGCACGGCCUGUCCAGAGU